rnacentral:rRNA from 1 species
AUUGAACGCUGGCGGCAGGCCUAACACAUGCAAGUCGAGCGGCAGCGGAAAGUAGCUUGCUACUUUGCCGGCGAGCGGCGGACGGGUGAGUAAUGUCUGGGGAUCUGCCUGGUGGAGGGGGAUAACUACUGGAAACGGUAGCUAAUACCGCAUAACGUCGCAAGACCAAAGCGGGGGACCUUCGGGCCUCGCGCCAUCAGAUGAACCCAGAUGGGAUUAGCUAGUAGGUGGGGUAAUGGCUCACCUAGGCGACGAUCCCUAGCUGGUCUGAGAGGAUGACCAGCCACACUGGAACUGAGACACGGUCCAGACUCCUACGGGAGGCAGCAGUGGGGAAUAUUGCACAAUGGGCGCAAGCCUGAUGCAGCCAUGCCGCGUGUAUGAAGAAGGCCUUCGGGUUGUAAAGUACUUUCAGCGAGGAGGAAGGCGGUAAGGUUAAUAACCUUACUGAUUGACGUUACUCGCAGAAGAAGCACCGGCUAACUCCGUG